rnacentral:rRNA from 1 species
GACGAACCGUGCGAACGUUGUUCGGAUUCACUGGGCUUAAAGGGCGCGUAGGCGGGCGAUCAAGUCAGGGGUGAAAUCUUUCGGCUCAACCGGAAAAGUGCCCCUGAUACUGAUUGUCUCGAGGGAGAUAGGGGCAUGUGGAACUUCCGGUGGAGCGGUGAAAUGCGUAGAUAUCGGAAGGAACGCCGGUGGCGAAAGCGACGUGCUGGAUCUCUUCUGACGCUGAGGCGCGAAAGCCAGGGUAGCGAACGGG